CCCUUAGAUGUUCUGGGCCGCACGCGCGCUACACUGAUGCAUUCAACGAGUCUAAAACCUGCUCUGAUAGGGGUGGGUAAUCUUUUGAAUGUGCAUCGUGAUUGGGAUAGAUGAUUGCAAUUCUUCAUCUUCAACGAGGAAUGCCUAGUAAACGCAAGUCAUCAGCUUGCAUUGAUUACGUCCCUGCCCUUUGUACACACCGCCCGUCGCUCCUACCGAUUGAAUGAUCCGAUGAAUAUCAUGGAUUGAGGAUGCAAGUAGGUUAGCCUAUCUUCAUCUUCGAGAAGUGAAGUAAAUCUUAUCAUUUAGAGGAAGGAGAAGUCGUAACA
rnacentral:rRNA from 1 species